GGUUCUUUACAUAUUUGACAAUUGCGUCUUUUUCCUGCGAGUCAUUCAUGGACAACUCUAGACUACUUUUGAUUCUUCCAGAUUUGGGAAGUUUGGCAUCAUCCUUUUGUCUUCCUUUGGUUUGUGAGUUUACUGGAUCUCUAAUAGUUAAUUCAACCUCUUCGUUUGCUUGCUCUGGGAAUAACAUAUUUGGACAACUUGUCUCAGAAAGAAGUCCAUCCUUACUAGUUUGCAUUUCAGAAUUCAUCUUUAUUGCCUCUUUGUA
rnacentral:lncRNA from 1 species